UGCAGGGGGGCACGACUUCUUCUUUGGAAGUCGUUCUGGCCCCCCACGACUUCCCAUUGACUUUUUUUUACCCAUUCUGGUAAUUUAUGAGGCAAAUUUGCCUAUCAGGGUCAAAAAACCCAGAAAAUAAAAACUUUACACCCAACAACAAUCCUAAAAAUACUCAUCCAUCAAAGAACAAAUAACAAAAACGCUGACAAAAAG
rnacentral:lncRNA from 1 species